GACGAACGCUGGCGGCGUGCUUAACACAUGCAAGUCGAACGAUGAACCCGGAGCUUGCUCCGGUGGAUUAGUGGCGAACGGGUGAGUAACACGUGAGUAACCUGCCCUUGACUCUGGGAUAACUGCGGGAAACUGUAGCUAAUACCGGAUACGACCCUCGGCGGCAUCGCCAGGGGGUUGAAAGAAUUUCGGUCAAGGAUGACUCGCGGCCUAUCAGCUAGUUGGUGAGGUAACGGCUCACCUAGGCGACGACGGGUAGCCGGCCUGAGAGGGUGACCGGCCACACUGGGACUGAGACACGGCCCAGACUCCUACGGGAGGCAGCAGCGGGGAAUAUUGCACAAUGGGCGCAAGCCUGAUGCAACAACGCCGCGUGAGGGAUGACGGCCUUCGGGUUGUAAACCUCUUUUAGUAGGGAAGAAGCGAGAGUGACGGUACCUGCAGAAAAAGCACCGGCUAACUACGUGCCAGCCGCCGCCGUAA
rnacentral:rRNA from 1 species